CCUCUAGAAGAAGCGACAAAUACGCAGAGAAAUCCAAACCGAAAGUGGUUUUGUGACAGAAAGAAAGCUCUUGAAGAUCCAACCAAAUUCUACAUUUGCUAUUCUUCUCUUUUUCUUUUCUUCUUCUCUUUCUUCUUCUGAGUGGUCCUAUUGUUUCUUGGAUCAUAAGAGAGAGAGAAAGAGUUAUUGAUGGAUGAAGAUGGAAACUUGCAGAUUGCUAAUAGUAAUUACAAUGGAGAAGAAGAAGCAGAUCCCGAGAAUAACACUAUGAACCAACCUCUCCUUAAGAGACAUAGAACUCUUUCUUCAACUCCUCUUGCUUUGGUCGGUACCAAGGUUUCACACAUCGAGAGCUUAGAUUAUGAGUAUGUCUUCUUUUUCUAACAGAUUUAGAUUCUUGGUCUCAAUCUUUUUCUAUAAAG
rnacentral:lncRNA from 1 species